AGGACGAACGCUGGCGGCGUGCUUAACACAUGCAAGUCGAACGAUGAAGCCCAGCUUGCUGGGUGGAUUAGUGGCGAACGGGUGAGUAACACGUGAGCAACGUGCCCAUAACUCUGGGAUAACCUCCGGAAACGGUGGCUAAUACUGGAUAUCUAACACGAUCGCAUGGUCUGUGUUUGGAAAGAUUUUUUGGUUAUGGAUCGGCUCACGGCCUAUCAGCUUGUUGGUGAGGUAAUGGCUCACCAAGGCGACGACGGGUAGCCGGCCUGAGAGGGUGACCGGCCACACUGGGACUGAGACACGGCCCAGACUCCUACGGGAGGCAGCAGUGGGGAAUAUUGCACAAUGGGCGAAAGCCUGAUGCAGCAACGCCGCGUGAGGGAUGACGGCCUUCGGGUUGUAAACCUCUUUUAGUAGGGAAGAAGCGAAAGUGACGGUACCUGCAGAAAAAGCACCGGCUAACUACGUGCCAGCAGCCGCGGUAAUACGUAGGGUGCAAGCGUUGUCCGGAAUUAUUGGGCGUAAAGAGCUCGUAGGCGGUUUGUCGCGUCUGCUGUGAAAUCCCGAGGCUCAACCUCGGGUCUGCAGUGGGUACGGGCAGACUAGAGUGUGGUAGGGGAGAUUGGAAUUCCUGGUGUAGCGGUGGAAUGCGCAGAUAUCAGGAGGAACACCGAUGGCGAAGGCAGAUCUCUGGGCCAUUACUGACGCUGAGGAGCGAAAGCAUGGGGAGCGAACAGGAUUAGAUACCCUGGUAGUCCAUGCCG
rnacentral:rRNA from 1 species